rnacentral:lncRNA from 1 species
CCAGCUCCCGGCCGGGGAAAUGGCGCUUGCGUCUCGCAAGAGCCGUUCAUUUGAGACACACCCCGCUCAGUCCCCUGGGAGAAUGACCUCCAGCCAUGGAUCCCGCCGCUCCUUUUGUAGUACAGCAGAGAGUUGCUGACCUUGCUGGGUUUUGUGUAGGACUACCAGGAUUGUGCUGGGCAGAUCGAGAGCGAGUGUGCACUUCCCGAGCCAUUCGACAAAUCUCACACCAGCCACAGAGGCACAUCGACAGCGUAUCCCCCAAAACUGUGCCCUGCAAUGCUCAAGCCAAGGAGAGAGUGUCAAGUUUGCAUGCUUGGACUUUGCUCACACUAGAAGCUGCAUGAGCCGGCCUGAUGCUGCCUAAGUUUUGUGGAAACAACUUAAUUCCAGGAUUCAAGCAAACUCUGCAGUUUGUGCUUAGUUUUCAUAGUAGGGGUAUUGUAAUUUAUUUCACUGACAAGUUGCCUCAUAGAAUUCUUGUGAAACUUCAAUAACUCUUGCCAACAAGAUUGGCUGAAUUCACCCACUGCACUAAAACUGCAAAUUUUUAAAUACAAAUGGAAGCGUUCAUGGUAGAUAAUGAAGGCGAACAAAGUCACACUAUGAGGAAUACCAUAAUUAUAAUAUAAAAUAAUAAAAGGAC